CCGCGCUAGACGGGGAGGUAGCGGUGCCCUGUAGCCCGUAAUCCGCUAUAACGGGGUCGAUGCCUGUCCGAGGCGUGCUUUGUGUGAGGCUGGUCUGGAUCAUCCGUGUUGAUGAUCGGGUCCUGCGCAACGAUCACUUCCGAACCGUGUCAGGUCCUGACGGAAGCAGCACUAAGGGAGACCGGUCGUGUGCCGCAGGGGUGCUUGGUCUGAGCUGAUGGUUCAGGGGCCGCUCGGGCAAGACACGUCGGAGACAGGUGCGCGG
rnacentral:SRP_RNA from 1 species